rnacentral:rRNA from 1 species
AACGCGAAGAACCUUACCAAGGCUUGACAUAUAGCGAAAAGUGGCAGAGAUGUCAUGUCCGCAAGGGCGCUAUACAGGUGGUGCAUGGUUGUCGUCAGCUCGUGUCGUGAGAUGUUGGGUUAAGUCCCGCAACGAGCGCAACCCUCGUUCUGUGUUACCAGCAUUCAGUUGGGGACUCACAGGAGACUGCCGGGGUCAACUCGGAGGAAGGUGGGGAUGACGUCAAAUCAUCAUGCCCCUUAUGUCUUGGGCUGCACGCAUGCUACAAUGGCCGGUACAAAGUGCUGCGAAAUCGUAAGAUUUAGCGAAUCACAUAAAGCCGGUCUCAGUUCGGAUUGAGGUCUGCAACUCGACCUCAUGAAGUUGGAGUUGCUAGUAAUCGUAGAUCAGCAACGCUACGGUGAAUACGUUCCCGGGUCUUGUACACACCG